rnacentral:rRNA from 1 species
AGUCGAACGAUCACUUCGGUGGUAGUGGCGCACGGGUGCGUAACGCGUGGGAAUCUGCCCUUGGGUUCGGAAUAACAGUUGGAAACGACUGCUAAUACCGGAUGAUGACGUAAGUCCAAAGAUUUAUCGCCCAAGGAUGAGCCCGCGUAGGAUUAGCUAGUUGGUGAGGUAAAGGCUCACCAAGGCGACGAUCCUUAGCUGGUCUGAGAGGAUGAUCAGCCACACUGGGACUGAGACACGGCCCAGACUCCUACGGGAGGCAGCAGUAGGGAAUAUUGGACAAUGGGCGAAAGCCUGAUCCAGCAAUGCCGCGUGAGUGAUGAAGGCCUUAGGGUUGUAAAGCUCUUUUACCCGGGAUGAUAAUGACAGUACCGGGAGAAUAAGCUCCGGCU